GUUUACCUAGCUUGAGCACGGAGGAGCCCAAAGCGGAGAGAGAAAUGAACGAGUGAAAUAAGUCAUAAAGAGUUGAUUUAGAACCUGUGAAAUAAUACUCACCUGGUUGGUGAUUCAUGAGCACCUUAUCUCAAUGAACCACAUCGGUUUUGGUCAGGUUUUUCUGUUAUAUCUGUUUAAAGUUGGACUUGGAGUGGAGGUUUUGCUGUGUGUGUGGGACGACACGGGAGACAAGAUGCCAAACCCACGGACUAAGUUUCUACAGACCCUGCUUCGUCGUGCCAGUGAGAAGAUCUGCUGCACACAGAUGGACUGUUGGUAAACUCACUGCCAGAGCGGUAGGAGUAUUGACCCCCUUUUUUCCUAUUUUUCUUGAACUGAAUUGAUUCAGAAACACAUCUGGAUUCAAGAACUGAACUUGAUCUGGAAACACAUCUGGAAUCAAGAAUUGAACUUGAACUGAGUUUAAAACAAUUUGAAUCAAAUUGAAGUGUUAUCUACUGUAUGCUGUACUCCUUCAUAAUUGUCAAGAGUUUGAUUUAUGGUAUAUGGUUUCACUUAAUUUGGAUUUUGUGAUAUCAAUCUCUUACCUGUGAAAAGGCAAAGAAAAAAAAAGUUAACUCGAGAAAAUAACUAAACCAAACAGGAAUAACUUGUUAACCUAAGAAAAGAUAGUUAAUUAAAGACUGGUGUAAUUUAAAAUAACAUUGACUAACUAACUUAAAGAUAUUUGUAGCUCUAAAACUGAACCUGCCACAGCCUCAGAAAGACAGUAAAGUUGGGUCUCAGAGGGUUAACAGGAUGAUGAGGAUCAGCAAAUUCAACUGUAUGAAAACAGCGGAGGCAACAAAUAUGAUUGGCUGUUGUUGAUGUUGAGCUCAUUACUCUAGCCUUAAACUUGAACCUACUAGAGCCUCUGAAAGACAGUCAGAGGGUUAAAUACCGGUCGGCUCAGCAGGGAUGCCGACAGUGGCACGCUUCCUCGAGCUCCCCCGAUCUGCGGCAAGGUCGAACCACCGUAUUGCGUUCUUUUGAAAUGUCAGCAUCAGUGGCGGCACGGGAGAAGGCACUCUUUCUCACGGCAUCUGUAAUCACAUAAGAAGAUUAUCAUACAAAAUUUCAUGAACCCCCAUUGUAACCACCAGUUUUUAUGUUUUAAAAGGAUACACAUAACCACUAGCUUUUAGACUGAAAGGCUGCUUUCUGACAUGUAAAUGUU